rnacentral:rRNA from 1 species
AUGCUCGUCGCGGUCGCUGUGGCACAGCCCAUGCAAGCCGCCCUUGUACGGCCUCCUCUCCUUCGCCACCGCAACAACCGUCGCUUCCAUGGACUACAUCGGCGGUGUCUUAGGAGGGGUGGACUAUCUUUGAGAUCCUGCGGUACAUGUGAGCAUAACUGGUCGGCGUACGAGGAGGCCCUCAAGGCCAAUCCGGUUCUUGCCAAGAUGAUGGUCAGCGGCGGCUUCUACUCCCUCGGCGACUGGAUAGCCCAGGCAUUUGAAUACUUUGGUGAAAUGCCAAUUACUUCUGUGGUGCUCGAGCGCGACGACACGCCUACUGAGUUCCUAGCGCUCGGGAAUGCCAGAGUUGGACGCGCCCAUGCAUGCAUUUUAGCUCUGAGGAUGGCAUCGAGAACGUACACACUCAGGUGCUCCUCAGCAGCAGUUGAUCCAUGUGGGGUUCUAUUUGAGUUCCUUCGUCCCCUGGCAGCGAGGCAGCAAAUGAGGGUAUGGGAUGGAGGUGGCUCUAAUUUCGAGGCUGUGGUUUAUUGGGCUUAUAAUUUCGACAUGAUUAAUGAUAUGAACCGUUUUUAUAGAAGAAUUAGUUUACGUGUUACUGGUUCACUUGCUACAGCUGAAACAUAUUUUGAUGUUAUUGUUAUUGACUGGAGCACACUAAUCCUAAUCUAA